rnacentral:rRNA from 1 species
CGGUGGAGCAUGUGGUUUAAUUCGAAGCAACGCGCAGAACCUUACCAGCGUUUGACAUCCUGAUCGCGGAUUAGAGAGAUCUUUUCCUUCAGUUCGGCUGGAUCAGUGACAGGUGCUGCAUGGCUGUCGUCAGCUCGUGUCGUGAGAUGUUGGGUUAAGUCCCGCAACGAGCGCAACCCUCAUCCCUAGUUGCCAUCAUUAAGUUGGGCACUCUAAGGAAACUGCCGGUGAUAAGCCGGAGGAAGGUGGGGAUGACGUCAAGUCCUCAUGGCCCUUACGCGCUGGGCUACACACGUGCUACAAUGGCAACUACAGUGGGCAGCAACCGGGCGACCGGUGGCUAAUCUCCAAAAGUUGUCUCAGUUCGGAUUGUUCUCUGCAACUCGAGAGCAUGAAGGCGGAAUCGCUAGUAAUCGCGGAUCAGCAUGCCGCGGUGAAUACGUUCCCAGGCCUUGUACACACCGCCCGUCACACCAUGGGAGUUGGUUUCACCCGAAGGCAGUGCUCUAACCCG